GUCGAGGGGUAGAGUUCUUCGGAGCUUGAGACCGGCGCACGGGUGCGUAACGCGUAUGCAAUCUACCUUUUACAGAGGGAUAGCCCAGAGAAAUUUGGAUUAAUACCUCAUAGUAUAAUUGAAUGGCAUCAUUUAAUUAUUAAAGUCACAACGGUAAAAGAUGAGCAUGCGUCCCAUUAGCUAGUUGGUAAGGUAACGGCUUACCAAGGCUACGAUGGGUAGGGGUCCUGAGAGGGAGAUCCCCCACACUGGUACUGAGACACGGACCAGACUCCUACGGGAGGCAGCAGUGAGGAAUAUUGGACAAUGGGCGCAAGCCUGAUCCAGCCAUGCCGCGUGCAGGAUGACGGUCCUAUGGAUUGUAAACUGCUUUUGUACAGGAAGAAACACUGGUUCGUGAACCAGCUUGACGGUACUGUAAGAAUAAGGAUCGGCUAACUCCGUGCCAGCAGCCGCGGUAAUACGGAGGAUCCAAGCGUUAUCCGGAAUCAUUGGGUUUAAAGGGUCCGUAGGCGGUUUGGUAAGUCAGUGGUGAAAGCCCAUCGCUCAACGGUGGAACGGCCAUUGAUACUGCUAGACUUGAAUUAUUAGGAAGUAACUAGAAUAUGUAGUGUAGCGGUGAAAUGCUUAGAGAUUACAUGGAAUACCAAUUGCGAAGGCAGGUUACUACUAAUAUAUUGACGCUGAUGGACGAAAGCGUGGGUAGCGAACAGGAUUAGAUACCCUGGUAGUCCACGCCGUAAACGAUGGAUACUAGCUGUUGGGCGCAAAGUCAGUGGCUAAGCGAAAGUGAUAAGUAUCCCCACCUGGGAGUACGUUCGCAAGAAUGAAACUCAAAGGAAUUGACGGGGGCCCGCACA
rnacentral:rRNA from 1 species